rnacentral:rRNA from 1 species
AUUGAACGCUGGCGGCAGGCCUAACACAUGCAAGUCGAACGGUAACAGGAAACAGCUUGCUGUUUCGCUGACGAGUGGCGGACGGGUGAGUAAUGUCUGGGAAACUGCCUGAUGGAGGGGGAUAACUACUGGAAACGGUAGCUAAUACCGCAUAACGUCGCAAGACCAAAGAGGGGGACCUUCGGGCCUCUUGCCAUCGGAUGUGCCCAGAUGGGAUUAGCUUGUUGGUGGGGUAACGGCUCACCAAGGCGACGAUCCCUAGCUGGUCUGAGAGGAUGACCAGCCACACUGGAACUGAGACACGGUCCAGACUCCUACGGGAGGCAGCAGUGGGAAUAUUGCACAAUGGGCGCAAGCCUGAUGCAGCCAUGCCGCGUGUAUGAAGAAGGCCUUCGGGUUGUAAAGUACUUUCAGCGGGGAGGAAGGGAGUAAGGUUAAUACCUUUACUCAUUGACGUUACCCGCAGAAGAAGCACCGGCUAACUCCGUGCCAGCCGCCGCGGUAA